rnacentral:rRNA from 1 species
AGUGAACGCUGGCGGUAGGCCUAACACAUGCAAGUCGAACGGCAGCACAGUAAGAGCUUGCUCUUACGGGUGGCGAGUGGCGGACGGGUGAGGAAUACAUCGGAAUCUACUUUUUCGUGGGGGAUAACGUAGGGAAACUUACGCUAAUACCGCAUACGACCUACGGGUGAAAGCAGGGGAUCUUCUGACCUUGCGCGAUUGAAUGAGCCGAUGUCGGAUUAGCUAGUUGGCGGGGUAAAGGCCCACCAAGGCGGCGAUCCGUAGCUGGUCUGAGAGGAUGAUAAGCCACACUGGAACUGAGACACGGUCAAGACUCCUACGGGAGGCAGCAGUGGGGAAUAUUGGACAAUGGGCGGAAGCAUGAUCCAGCCAUACCGCGUGGGUGAAGAAGGCCUUCGGGUUGUAAAGACCUUUUGUUGGGAAAGAAAAGCAGCAGGUUAAUACCACGCUGUUCUGACGGUACCCAAAGAAUAAGCACCGGCUAACUUCGUG